rnacentral:rRNA from 3 species
AGCAGCCGCGGUAAUUCCAGCUCCAAUAGCGUAUAUUAAAGUUGUUGCAGUUAAAAAGCUCGUAGUUGAAUUUCGGGGUUAGUAGGUUGGUCAUGCCUCUGGUAUGUACUGGUCUCACUGAUUCCUCCUUCCUGAUGAACCGUAAUGCCAUUAAUUUGGUGUUGCGGGGAAUUUGGACUGUUACUUUGAAAAAAUUAGAGUGUUUAAAGCAAGCUAACGCUUGAAUACAUUAGCAUGGAAUAAUGAAAUAGGACGUUCGAUCCUAUUUUGUUGGUUUCUAGGAUUGACGUAAUGAUUAAUAGGGAUAGUUGGGGGCAUUAGUAUUCAAUUGUCAGAGGUGAAAUUCUUGGAUUUAUUGAAGACUAACUACUGCGAAAGCAUUUGCCAAGGAUGUUUUCAUUAAUCAAGAACGAAAGUUAGGGGAUCGAAGACGAUCAGAUACCGUCGUAGUCUUAACCAUAAACUAUGCCGACUAGGGAUCGGAUGAUGUUAAUUUUUUAAUGACUCAUUCGGCGCCUUACG